rnacentral:rRNA from 1 species
GACGAACGCUGGCGGCGUGCCUAACACAUGCAAGUCGAGCGGAAAGGCCCUUCGGGGUACUCGAGCGGCGAACGGGUGAGUAACACGUGAGUAACCUGCCCCAGACUUUGGGAUAACCCUCGGAAACGGUGGCUAAUACCAGCUACGACACAGCUUCGCAUGGGGUCUGUGUGGAAAGUUCUUCGGUUUGGGAUGGGCUUGCGGCCUAUCAGCUUGUUGGUGGGGUGAUGGCAUAUCAAGGCGACGACGGUUAGCCGGCCUGAGAGGGCGACCAGCCACACUGGGACUGAGACACCGGCCAGACGGCUACUGGAGGCAGCGGUGGGAGAUAUUGCACAAUGGGCGGAAGCCUGAAGCAGCGACGCCGGGUGGGGAAGGACGGCCUUCGGGUUAGAAACCGCGUUCAGCAGGGACGUAGCGUAAGUGACGGUACCUGCAGAAGAAGCGCCGGCCAACUACGUG